rnacentral:rRNA from 1 species
GCUUGACUGUAGCUUGUAAUUGGGUCGGCUUUUUUUGCGCAGCCUAGGUGGGAGGCAACGAUGAUUUUUUCCGGAAAAAUUUGAGCCGUUAGUGAGAGACCACUCUGAAAAGGCUAGAAUCCUAAUAAUGAUCCUUGAAUCAGGACAUUUGACAGUUGCAGGUGGGCAGUUUUACUGGGCGGUAUUCUCCUAAAAAGUAACGGAGGGUGCAAAGGUUCCUCAAGCUGGACGGAAAUCAGCUUAAGAGUGUAAAGGCAAAAGGGAGCUUGACUGCAAGACCUACAAGUCGAGCAGGGGCGAAAGCCGGCCUUAGUGAUCCGACGGUACCACGUGGAAGGGCCGUCGCUCAACGGAUAAAAGUUA